rnacentral:rRNA from 1 species
CCUACGGGGGGCUGCAGUGGGGAAUAUUGGACAAUGGGCGAAAGCCUGAUCCAGCCAUGCCGCGUGUGUGAAGAAGGCCUUCGGGUUGUAAAGCACUUUCAGUGGGGAAGAAAGCCUUGGGGCUAAUACCCUCGAGGAAGGACAUCACCCACAGAAGAAGCACCGGCUAACUCCGUGCCAGCAGCCGCGGGAAUACGGAGGGUGCGAGCGUUAAUCGGAAUUACUGGGCGUAAAGCGCGCGUAGGCGGUCUGAUAAGCCGGUUGUGAAAGCCCCGGGCUCAACCUGGGAACAGCAUCCGGAACUGUCAGGCUAGAGUGCAGGAGAGGAAGGUAGAAUUCCCGGUGUAGCGGUGAAAUGCGUAGAGAUCGGGAGGAAUACCAGUGGCGAAGGCGGCCUACUGGACUGACACUGACGCUGAGGUGCGAAAGCGUGGGUAGCAAACAGGAUUAGAUACCCGGGUAGUC